AGUGAACGCUGCCGGUAGGCCUAACACAUGCAAGUCGAACGGCAGCACAGUAAGAGCUUGCUCUUACGGGUGGCGAGUGGCGGACGGGUGAGGAAUACAUCCGAAUCUACUUUUUCGUGGGGGAUAACGUAGGGAAACUUACGCUAAUACCGCAUACGACCUACGGGUGAAAGCAGGGGAUCUUCGGACCUUGCGCGAUUGAAUGAGCCGAUGUCGGAUUAGCUAGUUGGCGGGGUAAAGGCCCACCAAGGCGACGAUCCGUAGCUGGUCUGAGAGGAUGAUCAGCCACACUGGAACUGAGACACGGUCCAGACUCCUACGGGAGGCAGCAGUGGGGAAUAUUGGACAAUGGGCGCAAGCCUGAUCCAGCCAUACCGCGUGGGUGAAGAAGGCCUUCGGGUUGUAAAGCCCUUUUGUUGGGAAAGAAAAGCAGCAGGUUAAUACCCCGCUGUUCUGACGGUACCCAAAGAAUAAGCACCGGCUAACUUCGUG
rnacentral:rRNA from 1 species